rnacentral:rRNA from 1 species
GAUGAACGCUGGCGGCGUGCCUAAUACAUGCAAGUCGAGCGAACAGAUGAGGAGCUUGCUCCUCUGACGUUAGCGGCGGACGGGUGAGUAACACGUGGAUAACCUACCUAUAAGACUGGGAUAACUUCGGGAAACCGGAGCUAAUACCGGAUAAUAUAUUGAACCGCAUGGUUCAAUAGUGAAAGACGGUUUUGCUGUCACUUAUAGAUGGAUCCGCGCCGCGUUAGCUAGUUGGUAAGGUAACGGCUUACCAAGGCAACGAUGCGUAGCCGACCUGAGAGGGUGAUCGGCCACACUGGAACUGAGACACGGUCCAGACUCCUACGGGAGGCAGCAGUAGGGAAUCUUCCGCAAUGGGCAAAAGCCUGACGGAGCAACGCCGCGUGAGUGAUGAAGGUCUUCGGAUCGUAAAACUCUGUUAUUAGGGAAGAACAAAUGUGUAAGUAACUAUGCACGUCUUGACGGUACCUAAUCAGAAAGCCACGGCUAACUACGUG